rnacentral:rRNA from 1 species
UACGUAGGUGGCAAGCGUUAUCCGGAUUCACUGGGCGUAAAGCGCAUGCAGGUGGCGCGGCAAGUAGGGCAUGAAAGCUCCUGGCUUAACUGGGAGUCGCUGUCCUAAACUACCGCGCUUGAGGCUGAGAGAGGGAAGUGGAAUUGCCGGUGUAGUGGUGAAAUGCGUAGAGAUCGGCAGGAACACCCGUGGCGAAAGCGGCUUCCUGGCUCAGUCCUGACACUCAGAUGCGAAAGCUAGGGGAGCGAACGGG